CCUACGGGCGGCUGCAGUGGGGAAUAUUGCACAAUGGGCGCAAGCCUGAUGCAGCCAUGCCGCGUGUGUGAAGAAGGCCUUCGGGUUGUAAAGCACUUUCAGCGGGGAGGAAGGCGGUGAGGUUAAUAACCUCAUCGAUUGACGUUACCCGCAGAAGAAGCACCGGCUAACUCCGUGCCAGCAGCCGCGGAAAUACGGAGGGUGCAAGCGUUAAUCGGAAUUACUGGGCGUAAAGCGCACGCAGGCGGUCUGUCAAGUCGGAUGUGAAAUCCCCGGGCUCAACCUGGGAACUGCAUUCGAAACUGGCAGGCUAGAGUCUUGUAGAGGGGGGUAGAAUUCCAGGUGUAGCGGUGAAAUGCGUAGAGAUCUGGAGGAAUACCGGUGGCGAAGGCGGCCCCCUGGACAAAGACUGACGCUCAGGUGCGAAAGCGUGGGGAGCAAACAGGAUUAGAUACCCUGGUAGUC
rnacentral:rRNA from 1 species